UACGUAGGGUGCGAGCGUUGUCCGGAAUUAUUGGGCGUAAAGAGCUUGUAGGCGGUCUGUCGCGUCUGCUGUGAAAAUCCGGGGCUCAACCCCGGACUUGCAGUGGGUACGGGCAGACUAGAGUGUGGUAGGGGAGACUGGAAUUCCUGGUGUAGCGGUGAAAUGCGCAGAUAUCAGGAGGAACACCGAUGGCGAAGGCAGAUCUCUGGGCCGUAACUGACGCUGAGGAGCGAAAGCGUGGGGAGCGAACAGG
rnacentral:rRNA from 1 species